AAUUUUCGAAGCUCUAUAUUCAUAAUUAUUCAAAAAUUAUACAUGUGUAAUAAGAACCAGCUGGAAGCUUGAAAACAAUCAAGUUGUCUAAAUAAAAUAUUAGAUAACUCAAAGAUGGGAAAAGUCAGCCAACAAGAUCCAGAAUCAUGAAUGAACAAUGCAUAAUUUUAUGCAAGUUAACACAAAA